rnacentral:ncRNA from 1 species
AAAAAGACAGCGAAUUGAAAAGAACAUUCAGUUUUUGGAUUUACAGAGAGUUCCUAGUGCUGAGAGGGAAUGAUCCAUGUGAAUGAAAUACAUCAAGGAGUCGGGAUAUUGAAAUGAAGUAGGUAUCCACGGGUACGACCGUUAUAUCGUCAGAGUAUGAUAGUACUCACAGAGGUCUAUAUAGUGAUAUAUGGAUAAAAUAAGGUGGUAACGCGAAGUCCCUCUCGUCCUUAUA